UACGUAGGGGGCAAGCGUUGUCCGGAUUUAUUGGGCGUAAAGAGCUCGUAGGCGGCUUGUCGCGUCGUCCGUGAAAACCUGCGGCUCAACUGCAGGCUGGCGGUCGAUACGGGCAGGCUGGAGUUCGGUAGGGGAGACUGGAAUUCCCAGUGUAGCGGUGAAAUGCGUAGAUACUGGGAGGAACACCAGUGGCGAAGGCGGCUACCUGGACCGGUUCUGACGCUGAGGCGCGAAAGCGUGGGUAGCAAACAGG
rnacentral:rRNA from 1 species